UACGGAGGGUGCAAGCGUUAUCCGGAUUCACUGGGUUUAAAGGGUGCGUAGGUGGGUUGGUAAGUCAGGGGUGAAAUCUCCGUGCUUAACAUGGAAACUGCCAUUGGUACUACUGGUCUUGAAUUUUCCGGAGGUAAGCGGAAUAUGUCAUGUAGCGGUGAAAUGCUUAGAUAUGACAUAGAACACCAAUUGCGAAGGCAGCUUACUACAGGGACAUUGACACUGAGGCACGAAAGCGUGGGGAUCAAACAGG
rnacentral:rRNA from 1 species